rnacentral:rRNA from 1 species
UCGAACGAGAAGUACGUAGCAAUACGUAUUGUAAAGUGGCGCACGGGUGAGUAACACGUGGGUAAUCUGCCCUUGAGUUUGGGAUAACCCCGCGAAAGCGGGGCUAAUACCGAAUAAGACCACGGGGACCAAAGUCUCUGAGGUAAAAGGUGGCCUCUAUUUAUAAGCUACCACUUGAGGAUGAGCCCGCGGCCCAUUAGCUAGUUGGCAGGGUAAUGGCCUACCAAGGCAAUGAUGGGUAGCUGGUCUGAGAGGACGAUCAGCCACACUGGAACUGAGACACGGUCCAGACUCCUACGGGAGGCAGCAGUGGGGAAUAUUGCGCAAUGGGCGAAAGCCUGACGCAGCAACGCCGCGUGGGGGAUGAAGGUUCUCGGAUUGUAAACCCCUUUCGACCGGAACGAAUCUCCUCCUGGUAAAUAAUCAGGAGGAUCGACGGUACCGGGAGAAGAAGCCACGGCUAACUCUGUGCCAGCAGCCGCGGUAAGACAGAGGUGGCGAGCGUUGUUCGGAUUUAUUGGGCGUAAAGCGUACGCAGGCGGUUUGGUAAGUCAGAGGUGAAAGCUCGCAGCUUAACUGCGACACUGCCUUUGAUACUGCCUUUCUUGAGUAGAGUAGGGGGAAGCGGAAUUCCGAGUGUAGAGGUGAAAUUCGUAGAUAUUCGGAGGAACACCGGUGGCGAAGGCGGCUUCCUGGACUCUAACUGACGCUCAUGUACGA